rnacentral:rRNA from 1 species
UACGGAGGGUGCAAACGUUGCUCGGAAUCAUUGGGCGUAAAGCGCGUGUAGGCGGCAUGUUAAGUCGAGUGUGAAAGCCCUGGGCUCAACCCAGGAAGUGCGCUCGAUACUGGCACGCUAGAGUACGGGAGAGGGUAGCGGAAUUCCCGGUGUAGAGGUGAAAUUCGUAGAUAUCGGGAGGAACACCAGUGGCGAAGGCGGCUACCUGGACCGAUACUGACGCUGAGACGCGAAAGCGUGGGUAGCAAACAGG